rnacentral:rRNA from 1 species
AUUGUGCAUAGCACUAAGUGUGUUAUCUCGAUGUCUUGUCUAUUUGUUAUGCGCUAGAAGGUGCGAAAUCAGUUAAACUAAAUUUUUUUGGCGUAUAACGAGUGAUAAGACAACGGUUAAUAUAUUUUGUGCUAUGCACGAAAUCAGUGGCGGACGAGUGAGUACAAGCAAGGAACGUACCCUGAAGUAUCGCAUAGCUCGUCGAAAGACGGGGUAAUACGGUAUGUGGACGCAAGUCUAAAGGCGUAAGUCGCUUCAGGAGCGGCCUUGUACCUAUCAGCUAGUUGGUGAGGUAACGGCUUACCAAGGCUACGACGGGUAGGGGGUGUGAGAGCAUGACCCCCCACGAUGGCACUGAGAUACGGGCCAUACACCUACGGGUGGCAGCAACUGGGAAUCGUUGACAAUGGGCGAAAGCCUGAUCACGCGACGCCGCGUGAAGGAUGAAGGCCCUCGGGUCGUAAACUUCUUUUGCCAAAUUUCCGAAUUUUGGCGAAUAAGCAUCUACUAACUACGUGCCAGCAGUCGCGGUAAUACGUAGGAUGCAAGCGUUAUCCGGAAUCACUGGGCGUAAAGAGUCGUGUAGGCGGUCUUCCGCAUCGUAUUUGAAAGCCCGAGGCUUAACCUCGGUGUUGGAUACGAGAUGGGGAGACUUGAGGGUAGAAGAGGGAAGGGGAACUCAUAGUGAAGCAGUGAAAUGCGUUGAUAUUAUGAGGAACACCGAAGGCGAAGGCACCUUCCUGGUAUACACCUGACGCUGAGACACGAAAGCUAGGGGAGCGAAGCAGAUUAGAGACCUGCGUAGUCCUAGCCCUAAACGCAUGCCUGCUAGAUG